rnacentral:rRNA from 1 species
UACAGAGGUCUCAAGCGUUGUUCGGAUUCAUUGGGCGUAAAGGGUGCGUAGGCGGCCUUCUAAGUCAGACGUGAAAUCCCCCGGCUUAACCUGGGAACUGCGUCUGAUACUGGGAGGCUUGAGUAUGGGAGAGGGAUGUAGAAUUCCAGGUGUAGCGGUGAAAUGCGUAGAUAUCUGGAGGAAUACCGGUGGCGAAGGCGGCAUCCUGGACCAUUACUGACGCUGAGGCGCGAAAGCUAGGGGAGCAAACGGG